GACGAACGCUGGCGGCGUGCUUAACACAUGCAAGUCGAACGAAGAGCGAUGGAAGCUUGCUUCUAUCAAUCUUAGUGGCGAACGGGUGAGUAACGCGUAAUCAACCUGCCCUUCAGAGGGGGACAACAGUUGGAAACGACUGCUAAUACCGCAUACGAUCUAAUCUCGGCAUCCAGGAUAGAUGAAAGGUGGCCUCUACAUGUAAGCUAUCACUGAAGGAGGGGAUUGCGUCUGAUUAGCUAGUUGGAGGGGUAAAGGCCCACCAAGGCGAUGAUCAGUAGCCGGUCUGGGAGGAUGAACGGCCACAUUGGGACUGAGACACGGCCCAGACUCCUACGGGAGGCAGCAGUGGGGAAUCUUCCGCAAUGGACGAAAGUCUGACGGAGCAACGCCGCGUGAGUGAUGACGGCCUUCGGGUUGUAAAGCUCUGUUAAUCGGGACGAAAGGCCUUCUUGCGAAUAGUGAGAAGGAUUGACGGUACCGGAAGAGAAAGCCACGGCUAACUACGUG
rnacentral:rRNA from 1 species